rnacentral:rRNA from 1 species
UACGGAUUUUNUCUUUAUAGCUUGCUAUGAUAAAAAUUAGUGGCAGACGGGUGAGUAAUGCAUAGGAAUCUACCUAGUAGUAUGGGAUAGCCACUAGAAAUGGUGGGUAAUACUGUAUAAUCCCUGCGGGGGAAAGAUUUAUCGCUAUUAGAUGAGCCUAUGUUAGAUUAGCUAGUUGGUAGGGUAAAGGCCUACCAAGGCAGUGAUCUAUAGCUGGUCUGAGAGGAUGAUCAGCCACACUGGAACUGAGAUACGGUCCAGACUCCUACGGGAGGCAGCAGUGGGGAAUAUUGGACAAUGGGCGCAAGCCUGAUCCAGCUAUGCCGCGUGAGUGAGGAAGGCCUUAGGGUUGUAAAACUCUUUCAGUGGGGAAGAUAAUGACGGUACCCACAGAAGAAGUCCCGGCAAACUCCGUGCCAGCAGCCGCGGUAAUACGGAGGGGUCGAGCGUUGUUCGGAAUUAUUGGGCGUAAAGGGCAUGUAGGCGGUUCGGUAAGUUAAAGGUGAAAUGCCAGGGCUUAACCCUGGAGCUGCUUUAAAAUACUGCCA